AUUUCUCAAAAAUGGAAUUCUUUCCUUGUCCUUCGUAUCUUCCCCUAUUAUGUAGCUUAUAUUGAACUGGUAUUCUUCAAAACUGAACUACUUCCCAUGUAGUUCGCCCAAAUUCAGGUUCAAAAGGCUCACUCGCAUCCUCCAUUCCCAUAUAUCUCCCCUACACUUAUCUGAUCUCCAUCUCCACCCGGUUUCUGCACUCACACCACUUCUCUAUAGAAGAACCCCACCAUAAUAUGUCUCUAUUCAUCUCUAAACCCUUAUCCUACAACCACUCUCUGCCUAAUCGCUACCACCCACCCAAUUUCCUCUCUUCGGAAUUAAUGACCUAGCCUCAUCUCUCCACCUUCAACCACUACUACAAUUACCAGACUUCAAUAGCGAUCUGUUUCUUGGGGAUUCGGAUCUAAAUCUCAGCUGGUGAUAUGUUUCUUGGGUUUUCUUCUCAAGAAUCUUCAAAGAAACAGACCAGCUAAAGUUGGAUACAGGAUGCUAGGAACAGAGGGUCCAAUGUUAUGGGUGGUUUACCUGGGUUUGGUUUCUUUAUUUCUUUUUAUAUGUGGGUUCUUAUUUUUUUUUCCUUUGAUUUUACCCAAUAUUUUUCUAAUAUAUGUUGUUAUUUUAUCUUUAAAAUGUUAGUUGAUCAGGUGAUUCAAAGCUUUCUUUGGUUGUCUCAUUUUUUGUUAAACCAAUGGACAAAGCCAGGUUUUAGAUUUCUUCAAGCAAGCAAAAAAAAAAAAAGGCUGAAAUAUGGUAUUAAUUAUGUGAUUCAAGCAUUUGUUGGUUCUUUCAUGAUUUUUUACUAACAAAUCUGCAUAAGGUCAUAAGGUCAUUAUUUCCAUCCUAAUUUUCCCCUUUCAUAAAAAUAUUUAUUAUUUCACUAUUUCAAGCUAAAAACGUGAUUUUUAUUGUUCUCUUCUGUUAUUUGUUUAGUAGUUGAGAAAAUAUUGCUGACACGGAAGACGAGGAAGAGAUUGUGAGACACAAGGAACAAAGGAAUGACACAUAUACAAAGGAAGCUCCUGUUCAUGCUUCAAAACUUUUACAGCUUAUGUUUAUUCUCUUUUCCUUACUUCAGCUUGCACAAAGAUAAAACUAAAGAUAAUGCAAUUUUUAAUACUUAUUACUUAUUUCAAAAUGAAAAAUUUAAUGUUUAGCUACGGUUUUUUUUUAAUUAUUAGUAUUUUAUCCUUUGUAAUGGUUAAUUAGACUGAUCUUUUAGUCUAUACCUAUGAAAAGCGGUUAGUUAUUAUAUUUGAAUUUAUGUUUAUCCUUUGUAACGGUCAAUAAAAAUGGAUUGAUAGAUAAUAUAUUAUGUGUUUUUAUUCUUAAUACAUGAUGCAUUUAUGUUUACUUAAGGAAUGCGUUAAUUUUUUUUAAGAAUAAAUAAUUUGAAAUAGUAUUUUAGUUAUAUAAUUUUUACUUUUAUAGAAAUGAUAUGCCAUCGAAUAAAGAAAACAAAUAUCAGUGAAGGUAUAUGCCUAUGUAAAUGAGAUUUUGUAGUAACCAGAAUUGUUAUAAUACGUAAAUGUUUUGUUUUGAUUGGAAUACAACAUGAUUAUUAUAGUGUUUUGUUGAAUACUCCCUUAUGCAUAUUAUCUUUUUUUUAUAACUUAAUUAGUUUAUGUCUACUAUCAAUAGUUAUUUGACCAAUUUUUUAAUUUUUGUUUUUAUCUCUCAACUUUCACAAUUCAUUAAAAUUAUAACAUAGUUUCAUGGUUUUUAUUUCUCAACUUUCAGAAUUGAAUAAAAUUAUAACCUCCAUUUCGUGAUUUUAUCUCUCAACUUUCAGACAAGUUUUGCGGUGAGUCGUGGAACACGGGCAUAGACUGUGGAUAGUAGCCUACGAAUGUUGCCUCCUUCAUCUUCGAUUAUCAAGUUGCGGUUAACUAUAAAUAUGAGAGCACUAACCGAUCAAUGAUUCUCAGAAUUUCUAUUACGUGUCGGUGAUGGAGUUGACGAAACGGUGCACGAAAACUUUACUUGCAUCCCAGAUGAUAUGGUAUGUAUAUUCCAGACCCAGUAUCCGCACAUGGCCAACUUUAUGUUGCAUUCUCCAGAGGGGUCUCACGUGGCAAUACCAAAAUGUUAGUGAAGCCUAACGAAAAUUUCAAAGGUUAUGGAGUCUAUACAACAAACGUGGUAUAUAAAGAAGUGUUGCGAGAUUAAUAAUGUAUUAGCAGUUAUGUGUUUUUAUACAUUUCCAUAUUUGGUGUAUUCAUAUGUAAUUCUAUUAUUAUUGUUUGAACGACUUACACGAUUUAUAUUU